CAACCCGCCGUCCCGCCGGCGGCAGCGGUGGAGCAAUACUCGUCAUUUAUCAUCACAAUUUAAACACCUUCGCACUAUCCACACAUCCCUUUCAGUUCUGGAGUUUGGUUCUUCCACUUUCAAUCAUCAAAAUUUGCUCAUCCUUUCUUCCUGGGCAAUAAUCCCACACAGGAGAAGCCAUUGUUUGACUGGAGAAGUUGCAGCCUCCUUCGCCGUAACCGUCAUACACAGUGAGCAUUUCAAGACCUCCAGUGUCAUAAAAGCUUCGCUCCUUUGUCUCAGUGAUUGGCCCAGAUUCCAUACUUGGGCUGUUA